rnacentral:tRNA from 1 species
GCAGUGGUGGUUUGGUGGUACAAUUCUCGCCUUCCACGUGGUAGACCCAGGUUUGACUCCUGGCCAAUGCA